ACGUAGGGCAAUCUGUCUUUAAGUAGGGAUAAAUUACUCUAAAACAAAACAAAAAAAAGAAUCCUUCAAGUCAAGCAUCUCGU
rnacentral:pre_miRNA from 1 species